AUGCCGCCGCUCCUCCUCGCCGCGCUCGCGCUCGCCCUGGCCCUCUCCCACGCCGCCGCCGGAGGAGGCACCGGGUUCUACGACCCGGCGCGGGUUACCCAGAUCUCCUGGCGCCCCAGGGCGUUCCUGUACAGCGGCUUCCUCUCGCACGCCGAGUGCGACCACCUCAUCAAGCUGGCCAAGGGGAGGCUGGAGAAGUCGAUGGUGGCCGACAACGAGUCCGGGAAGAGUGUCAUGAGCCAGGUGCGCACAAGCUCUGGCACCUUCUUGUCCAAGCGCGAGGAUGAAAUUAUCUCUGGAAUUGAAAAGCGUGUAGCUGCUUGGACGUUUCUCCCUGAAGAAAAUGCCGAAUCAAUGCAGGUUCUGCAUUAUGAAGUUGGUCAGAAGUAUGAUGCCCACUUCGAUUAUUUUAGUGACAAAAAGAACGUGAAGCGUGGUGGUCAUCGGGUUGCUACUGUUCUUAUGUACCUGACAGAUGUGAAGAAGGGUGGAGAGACCGUGUUCCCAAUUGCUGAGGGAAGAGAUUUACAACAUAAGGAUGAAACGUGGUCGGAGCGCGCGAGACAUGGCCUGGCAGUGAAGCCAAGAAAAGGCGAUGCGCUACUCUUCUUCAGUCUCCACGUUAACGCGACAACAGAUCCGAGCAGUCUUCACGCGAGCUGCCCAGUAGUCGAGGGCGAGAAGUGGUCUGCCACAAAAUGGAUCCACGUCCGGUCAUUCGACAACCCUCCAGAUGUUAUGACGGACGCACGGUGUUCUGAUGACAAUGAGCAAUGCCCUAGAUGGGCUGCUCUUGGUGAGUGUUACAAGAACGCAAAAUACAUGGUGGGCACGAAGGACACCCUCGGGUCUUGCCGCAAAAGUUGCGGGGUCUGCGAUGCUUGA
rnacentral:rRNA from 1 species